rnacentral:lncRNA from 1 species
AGUAGGCCGGAGGGUGUGCCAGUAUGUCUCAUUGUUUGAUAUGGCCUUGGCUACUCUUUUCUUGUAUCCUGCUUGAUAUGAAUCCCCAUAUCCCUGCUCCCCUAUGUAUGCUGAGUUAAGGUAUAGCCUGGCAGCAUUGCAAUUGUUGUCCAAGGAUGAACCUGACCUUCAAUAGGUCCUAACUCCUCAAUUUACGAUUGACAAGAUGGUCAAGGUUGUCUCAGCACCCCAAAUUGCUUGGCAUCACCACCAGCUUGCCAUUUUCCCUCUACUCCACGUUCACUUACUCCUAGCCUCUAAGUUCUACCCUACCCCUCCUAUGAGCCUUGCCUUGGGACCUUGAGUUCCCUCUAAACAUGGACAUUUGGGGGAUGACUCUUCCAUACUACACUAUAAUCUGAUUCUGCAAUGAUAUUUAGGGUGUGAGCAUUGCCUUAACUCCUUGCAACUUUGACACAUCCCAAAUAAGAGAAAAGCUUGGAAAAUCUGUUCCUGGAAGUUGAU